ACGAACGCUGGCGGCGUGCCUAACACAUGCAAGUCGAACGGGACCCGCAAGGGUUCAGUGGCGAACGGGUGCGUAACACGUGAGGAACGUAGCUACCGGCGGGGGAUAGCCGGCCCAACGGCCGGGUAAUACCGCGUACGACCUUCGGGGGGCAUCCCCUGGAGGUGAAAGCAGCAAUGCGCCGGUGGGGCGCCUCGCGGCCUAUCAGCUAGUUGGUGAGGUCAUGGCUCACCAAGGCGACGACGGGUAGCUGGUCCGAGAGGAUGACCAGCCACAUUGGGACUGAGACACGGCCCAGACUCCUACGGGAGGCAGCAGUGGGGAAUAUUGCGCAAUGGGGGAAACCCUGACGCAGCGACGCCGCGUGUGGGAUGACGGUCUUCGGAUUGUAAACCACUGUCGGGAGGGACGAAGCUCUGACGGUACCUCCAAAGGAAGCACCGGCUAACUCUGU
rnacentral:rRNA from 1 species